GUGUGUGUGUGUGUGUGUCCAUGCAUGAGUGGUGCGUCGGCAGUGCUAUGAAUGGGCAGAGGGGUGUGCUCUCAGAGACACCAUAGCAGCAGUGAGAUGAGGAGUACCAUUUACUCCACUGCACGUCUAUUGAGAGAAGCAAGAAAAGGAGUCUUUACAGUUGCACAACCACAGUACUCCAAAAGACAUCAUCAAAUCCUAAACCUAAUCAGCACUGAACCUUUCCUGAAAAAAUCUUCAAGUCAGCCAUGGAACAGAAGGCAAAUGAGUGCCCCACCACCACCACCUCUCCUCAGAAACACAUGAAGAACAGGUCCAAAUCCACAGAGGAGGUGCAACAGACGAGGAAGGCCUUUUCAUCACAAAAAUCCCUCCCGGGCCGACCAGAGCUGGAGAAGGUGAAGGAGUGUCCUGACGGCUCUGACACGCCGUCAUCCUCCACGGAGGAGCUGAAGUGAUAAAUGGAAGGACAUUACCAUCAAGUUACAAGAUCAUCAUCAACAUAAAUAAAAUGUACAUAUGUACACAGGGAAACAUACACAAUAUUAUUCAGAAUAAUAAUAAAUAAUGAAACACACAAAAAAUGGAUUUAUGAUUGGUUGAAGAAAACUCUUUCAAAAAUGGUAAAUUGAACACACGCAGACUCACGCACACUGAAACAAUCACUUUUAAACACCUGUGAUGAUGCUGUCUCAUUGUACCGUGAGUGUCGUAUAGGCCUACAUACCACACUGAAUGUGUAUUGACAAUAAAGUAAUGCUGUUGAGUGUA